GGGCGAUUAGCUCAGGGGGAGAGCACUUCUUUCACACGGAAGGGGUCACUGGUUCAAAUCCAGUAUCGCCCACCA
rnacentral:tRNA from 1 species